AUUGAACGCUGGCGGCAGGCCUAACACAUGCAAGUCGAACGAGUGGCGGACGGGUGAGUAAUGUCUGGGAAACUGCCUGAUGGAGGGGGAUAACUACUGGAAACGGUAGCUAAUACCGCAUACCAUCGGAUGUGCCCAGAUGGGAGUAGCUAGUAGGGGGGGUAACGGCUCACCUAGGCGACGACCCCUAGCUGGUCUGAGAGGAUGACCGGCUAAACUGGCACUGAGACACGAUCCGGACUCAUACGGGAGGAAGCAGUGGGGAAUAUUGAGCAAUGGGCGCAGGACUGAUGCAGCGAUGCCGCGUGUAUUAAAAAGGCCUUCGGGUUGUAAAGUACUUUCAGCGGGGAGACGUUACCUGAAGAAGAAGCACCGGCUAACUCCGUGCCAGCAGCCGCGGUAAUUC
rnacentral:rRNA from 1 species